AGAGUUUGAUCCUGGCUCAGGACGAACGCUGGCGGCGUGCCUAAUACAUGCAAGUAGAACGCUGAAGAGAGGAGCUUGCUCUUCUUGGAUGAGUUGCGAACGGGUGAGUAACGCGUAGGUAACCUGCCUUGUAGCGGGGGAUAACUAUUGGAAACGAUAGCUAAUACCGCAUAACAAUGGAUGACACAUGUCAUUUAUUUGAAAGGGGCAAUUGUUCCACUACAAGAUGGACCUGCGUUGUAUUAGCUAGUAGGUGAGGUAAUGGCUCACCUAGGCGACGAUACAUAGCCGACCUGAGAGGGUGAUCGGCCACACUGGGACUGAGACACGGCCCAGACUCCUACGGGAGGCAGCAGUAGGGAAUCUUCGGCAAUGGGGGCAACCCUGACCGAGCAACGCCGCGUGAGUGAAGAAGGUUUUCGGAUCGUAAAGCUCUGUUGUAAGUCAAGAACGGGUGUGAGAGUGGAAAGUUCACACUGUGACGGUAGCUUACCAGAAAGGGACGGCUAACUACGUGCCAGCAGCCGCGGUAAUACGUAGGUCCCGAGCGUUGUCCGGAUUUAUUGGGCGUAAAGCGAGCGCAGGCGGUUUGAUAAGUCUGAAGUUAAAGGCUGUGGCUCAACCAUAGUUCGCUUUGGAAACUGUCAAACUUGAGUGCAGAAGGGGAGAGUGGAAUUCCAUGUGUAGCGGUGAAAUGCGUAGAUAUAUGGAGGAACACCGGUGGCGAAAGCGGCUCUCUGGUCUGUAACUGACGCUGAGGCUCGAAAGCGUGGGGAGCGAACAGGAUUAGAUACCCUGGUAGUCCACGCCGUAAACGAUGAGUGCUAGGUGUUGGAUCCUUUCCGGGAUUCAGUGCCGCAGCUAACGCAUUAAGCACUCCGCCUGGGGAGUACGACCGCAAGGUUGAAACUCAAAGGAAUUGACGGGGGCCCGCACAAGCGGUGGAGCAUGUGGUUUAAUUCGAAGCAACGCGAGGAACCUUACCAGGUCUUGACAUCCCGAUGCUAUUUCUAGAGAUAGGAAGUUACUUCGGUACAUCGGUGACAGGUGGUGCAUGGUUGUCGUCAGCUCGUGUCGUGAGAUGUUGGGUUAAGUCCCGCAACGAGCGCAACCCCUAUUGUUAGUUGCCAUCAUUCAGUUGGGCACUCUAGCGAGACUGCCGGUAAUAAACCGGAGGAAGGUGGGGAUGACGUCAAAUCAUCAUGCCCCUUAUGACCUGGGCUACACACGUGCUACAAUGGUUGGUACAACGAGUUGCGAGUCGGUGACGGCGAGCUAAUCUCUUAAAGCCAAUCUCAGUUCGGAUUGUAGGCUGCAACUCGCCUACAUGAAGUCGGAAUCGCUAGUAAUCGCGGAUCAGCACGCCGCGGUGAAUACGUUCCCGGGCCUUGUACACACCGCCCGUCACACCACGAGAGUUUGUAACACCCGAAGUCGGUGAGGUAACCUUUUGGAGCCAGCCGCCUAAGGUGGGACAGAUGAUUGGGGUGAAGUCGUAACAAGGUA
rnacentral:rRNA from 1 species